GGGGAUUUAGCUCAGUGGCAUAAGCACCUGACUUGCAAGCAGACGAUCGUGAGUUCAAUCCCCG
rnacentral:tRNA from 1 species